rnacentral:rRNA from 1 species
GAAUAUUGGACAAUGGGCGAAAGCCUGAUCCAGCCAUGCCGCGUGUGUGAAGAAGGUCUUCGGAUUGUAAAGCACUUUAAGUUGGGAGGAAGGGUUGUAGAUUAAUACUCUGCAAUUUUGACGUUACCGACAGAAUAAGCACCGGCUAACUUCGUGCCAGCAGCCGCGGUAAUACGAAGGGUGCAAGCGUUAAUCGGAAUUACUGGGCGUAAAGCGCGCGUAGGUGGUUUGUUAAGUUGGAAGUGAAAGCCCCGGGCUCAACCUGGGAACUGCUUUCAAAACUGGCAAGCUAGAGUAUGGCAGAGGGUGGUGGAAUUUCCUGUGUAGCGGUGAAAUGCGUAGAUAUAGGAAGGAACACCAGUGGCGAAGGCGACCACCUGGGCUAAUACUGACACUGAGGUGCGAAAGCGUGGGGAGCAAACAGGA